rnacentral:rRNA from 1 species
AUUGAACGCUGGCGGCAGGCUUUACACAUGCAAGUCGAACGAGUGGCGGACGGGUGAGUAAUGCCUGGGAAUCUGCCUGAUGGAGGGGGAUAACUACUGGAAACGGUAGCUAAUACCGCAUACCAUCAGAUCUGCCCAGGUGGGAUUAGGUUGUUGGUGAGGUAACGGCUCACCAAGGCGACGAUCUCUAGCUGGUCUGAGAGGAUGACCAGCCACCCUGGAACGGAGACACGGCCCAAGCUCCUACGGGAGGCAGCAAUGGGGAAUAUGGCGCAAUGUGAGCAACCCGGACGCACCCAUCCCGCGUGUACAAAGCAGGCCUUCAGAUUGUAGAAUCCUUUCAGCAGGGAAGCGUUUCCGCCAGAAGAAGCAACAGCUAACUCCGUGCCAGCAGCCGCGGUAAUUC